rnacentral:lncRNA from 1 species
GCCUCUUACUCAAUUUUUUAAAAUUAAUGUGGACGAGGCUUUAAAGACAAAUGAUAGUAUGAGAGGACUCGCAGUUGUUAUUAGAGAUGAUUGUGAAGAGUUGAUUGCAGCAACAACCAAACCAGUGUGUGGCAUGUUUACGCCCAACAUCACUGAAUUAUUUGCAAUCAGAUUUGGCCUUCAACUUGCUAUGGACUUGGGGUUGCAACAUAUAUAUUUAGAGUCAGAUGCACAAGCAGCAAUACAGAUGGCUUUCCAGUGUGAUGCAGACUUAAGCUACGAUGGAAUUUUAGUAAAUGAAAUUCAGGUUUUGGCUAAUUCAUUUCAUAGUUGUUUUGGUAAGUUUCGACCUCGUACUUGUAAUCGUGUGGCUCAUAGUCUUGCAUGUUUUGCACUUUCUAUUUCAGACCUUAUAGUUUGGUUGGAAGACGGACCUGAAUGGUUGUCUCUCAUUGUUACUGAUGAUGUUAUCCUUACUUCUUAA